UGGGCUGUGCUGGGCUGUGCUGGGCUGUGCUGGGCUGUGCUCUGUGCUGGGCUGUGCUGGGCUGUGCUGGGCUGUGCUGGGCUGUGCUGGGCUGUGCUGUUCAGGCAGCUGGGGCUGUGCUGCAGUCAGGCACAAGGGAACAAGCAGGGAGCAGGUGCUGGCACUGGGUUUUCAUUCCCGGGGAGCUCCGUGCGUGUCCCUGCAGCAGCGAUGCUCCCGGUGCCCGUGGUGGAGCCGUGCCUGGGGCUGCUGUGUGGUUGCACCUGCUGCACCUCUGCAGCCCAUGGCACUGUCCCUGCUGCACCUCUGCAACCUGUGGCUGCAAUCUGCUGCACCUCUGCAACCCAUAGCUGCGCCUUCCUGCACCUCUGCAGCUCGUGGUUGCACCUGCUGCACCUCUGCAGCCCAUGGUACUGUCCCUGCUGCACCUCUGCAACCCAUGGCUGCACCUGCUGCACCUCUGCAGCCUGUGGCACUGUCCCUGCUGCACCUCUGCAACCCAUGGCUGCACCUGCUGCACCCCUGCAGCCCGUGGCACUGUCCCUGCCGCUGGAACACCAGGACAACGCAGAGAGCCCUGCCCAGGGCCCCCAGGGCUGUGCAGACAAGACUCAUUCCCUUGCUGCCUUGUGCCAACUGCAGCUGCUGGAGCCAACUCUCCAUCACCUGGAAGCCUGCAGGAAACAAAACACCUCCCUGCCGAGCCACCGUGGCUACCAGGGACCACCUGGGCUCAGCCUGGGCCAGCUGCACAACCUCUGAGCCUCCCUGGCUCUCUGGAGCUCUCAGGAGCUGAAGCUCUGUGUUUGUGUGGGGCACAGGACGAAGCUGCACCUGCACCUGAAGCCUGGAGCUACGGAAUGCUCGGGAAGCCCUGAGAAGGAAAAGAUGAGGGGCAACCUGGAGCAAAGCUGUGUCCCCUCAGCAGAGCCCCAGGGGUGUCAGCUGUCCCCAGUGGCACAGGGAGCUGUUCCCAGGGUGACCCAAGCCCUCCCUGAGCAGUCCCUGCUCCUCUCAGGCAGGGUGUCCCAGUUUCACCAGCUCCCAGCAAACUGGGCCGAGCUGAGGGUAUUUCUGGCAGCCGUGGGUGCACAGUGUCAGCUGCUCCACGGGGCAAAGCCCUGCCCUGCCAGCUGAGGGACAGCAGGAGCUCAGCCAGGUUCCUGCAGUCCCAAGAGCCUGGAGCACUUCAUCCUCAGUCCUGAACAUUCCCAGGACCUCCCUGACUCCUCUGGGAACUCUGGCUCUGCCUGUCUCCCUCUCCUCAAGGGUGUCCUGCACCCUCCUGGCCCACAGGGUGCUGGGGCACCCACGGGUGACCCUGAGACAGAAGCACAGCCCUCCCUCCCUUCUGAACCCAGCAUUCCCCAUCCCACACAGAGACAGGAGGAGCAGAACUCACCAAAGUGCCUUCCCUGGCCCAAAUCUACAAAUCAGACUUUUAUCCACAGCUCCCUCCAACACAGACACCUCACCAGGCACUUUUAAAGCCUUAAUUCCCAUUCUACCUCCUAAUCCAAACUCAGGUUGUUCUCAUCACCUAUAUUUGAACCAGCUCUAUUUUUAGUUUCCUGCUUUAAAAUGAAGAUGAGGACUUGCCUUUUAUAGACUGUGCACUCCUGCUAUCUGAGCAGAACCGAAAUUAAUACCAGUUCCUGCUACCUUGGAAUAAAAGCUGGUGUUACAUCUGAAACA
rnacentral:lncRNA from 1 species